rnacentral:rRNA from 1 species
UACGUAGGGGGCUAGCGUUGUCCGGAUUUAUUGGGCGUAAAGAGCGUGUAGGCGGCCAGGUAGGUCCGGUGUGAAAACUCGAGGCUUAACCUCGAGAUGUCAUCGGAAACCAUCUGGCUAGAGCCCGGAAGAGGAAAGUGGAAUUCCUGGUGUAGCGGUGAAAUGCGCAGAUAUCAGGAAGAACACCAAUGGCGAAAGCAGCUUUCUGGGACGGUACUGACGCUGAGACGCGAAAGCGUGGGGAGCGAACAGG